CAAUAGCGUAUAUUAAAGUUGUUGCAGUUAAAAAGCUCGUAGUUGGAUUUCUGGUAGGAGUGACCGUUCCGAACUUGAUUGUUCGUGUAUUGUGUUUUCUCCAGCCAUCCUUGUGGAGAACUUUUCUUGCAUUAAUUUGUAGGGAUUGGGACCCGCAUCGUUUACUGUGAAAAAAUUAGAGUGUUUAAAGCAGGCAAUCGCUUGAAUACAUUAGCAUGGAAUAAUAAGAUAGGACUUUGGUACUAUUUUGUUGGUUUGCAUACCAAAUUAAUGAUCAACAGGAACAGUUUGAGGAUAUUCGUAUGAACAUGUCAGAGGUGAAAUUCUUGGAUUUUGAUCAGACGAACUACUGCGAAAGCAUUUAUCAAGGAUGUUUUCAUUGA
rnacentral:rRNA from 1 species